UACGGAGGGUGCAAGCGUUAUCCGGAUUUAUUGGGUUUAAAGGGUGCGUAGGCGGUUUCUUAAGUCAGUAGUGAAAGUCUGCAGCUUAACUGUAGAAGUGCUAUUGAUACUGGGAGACUUGAAUAUGGUGAAGGUAGGCGGAAUUCGUGGUGUAGCGGUGAAAUGCAUAGAUACCACGAAGAACACCGAUAGCGAAGGCAGCUUACUAUACCAUUAUUGACGCUGAGGCACGAAAGCGUGGGGAGCGAACAGG
rnacentral:rRNA from 1 species